rnacentral:rRNA from 1 species
UACGUAGGAGGCAAGCGUUAUCCGGAAUGACUGGGCGUAAAGGGUGCGUAGGUGGUUUGGCAAGUUGGUAGCGUAAUCCCGGGGCUUAACUCCGGUGCUACUACCAAAACUGCUGGGCUUGAGUGCAGGAGGGGUGAAUGGAAUUCCUAGUGUAGCGGUGGAAUGCGUAGAUAUUAGGAAGAACACCAGCGGCGAAGGCGAUUCACUGGACUGUAACUGACACUGAGGCACGAAAGCGUGGGGAGCAAACAGG